ACGCACGCUGGCGGCGUGCUUCACCCCUGCCAGUCGAACGGAAAGGCCCUGCUUUUGUGGGGUGCUCGAGUGGCGAACGGGUGAGUAACACGUGAGUAACCUGCCCUUGACUUUGGGAUAACUUCAGGAAACUGGGGCUAAUACCGGAUAGGAGCUCCUGCUGCAUGGUGGGGGUUGGAAAGUUUCGGCGGUUGGGGAUGGACUCGCGGCUUAUCAGCUUGUUGGUGGGGUAGUGGCUUACCAAGGCUUUGACGGGUAGCCGGCCUGAGAGGGUGACCGGCCACAUUGGGACUGAGAUACGGCCCAGACUCCUACGGGAGGCAGCAGUGGGGAAUAUUGCACAAUGGGCGGAAGCCUGAUGCAGCAACGCCGCGUGCGGGAUGACGGCCUUCGGGUUGUAAACCGCUUUCGCCUGUGACGAAGCGUGAGUGACGGUAAUGGGUAAAGAGGCACCGGCUAACUACGUG
rnacentral:rRNA from 1 species